AAACCAUGAUAUGGGCAUGCUCUUAACAACUCUUUAUAUCUCUCGUAAGCUUCGAAUAGCGAUUCUUCUUGGUUCUGGGAAAAUCUAGUUAUAUUGUUUCGAAGAAC